rnacentral:tRNA from 1 species
GGGGAUGUAGCUUAGUUGGUAGAGCGUCUGGUCUGCACCCAGAAGGUCGUGGGUUCGACCCCCAUCGUCUCCACCA